rnacentral:sRNA from 2 species
GCCCCGUGUUUACGAUCGCACCUAGGUGCCCAAGUUAAAGUUUAAGAAUAAGUUACCCAAGUCCUACGAAGCCGCACCACUGUGAUAGUGCUGCGAAGAAGCCCGAGUGCUUAGAAGUCCACAACCGCGUGUCUGUGAAGAGGCCAGAGUGCCUACGAAGUAUUUCCUCCAAAAAGAAUAAGAACUGAACCUCCUGGUCUCCAAGUUACCAGGACCAAGAACCAUGGCCUCGUACGAAAACGAGAUGAAUUACGAACACCCCUACGAACACCCUUCCGCGGGCGAAAACCGAAACCUCGCAGAAGACAACGCUGAACUCCGUAGCUUCCUCCAGCAGCAAUCCCUGCAGAUGGCGGAGCUCCAGCGACAACUGAAUAACCUGAAUACGAAUACACCAAGAACCACGCAAGCACCAACACCCCUUAUGUACGAAAGAAGAGAACGCCUCCCUCUCCUCGACAAAUUCGCGGGAGAACUCUCGACCUACUUAGCCUGGAAAUGGAAGGCGAAAGCCAAGCUUGAAGAAGAUGGGCCUGUGAUAGGCUCUCUGCUCUCGCAAGCUCGCUAUGUUCAUAGUCGGCUAGAAGGAGAUGCUCUAGCCAAGUUCCAACCUUGGAUCGAGUCGUGCGCGCACGAGAUGUGCACCCCUGAAGAAGUCUUCCGCCAACUAGAUGUCCUGUUCUUGGACCCUACACUCCAAGCGCGCGCGAUGCAAUGGUUGAACAGGAACCGCCAGAGGAACACACCACUGGCGAACUAUCUACCCGACUUCGACAGCAAGAUACGCGAAGCAGGAGGUCAGGACUGGGACGAUGCUGUCAAGAUCAACCUCCUGAGCCAGCAUAUUAGCUUUGAACUGCUCAAGCUCUGCACCUCGCACCUCAUGCCCACGCGUUACCAUGACUACUGCACCCACUUACGCCAACUCGACAACAACCUCGCACGCUUCCAUGCUGUCCAAGGAAGACGUAACAAUUAUAGGCAGAACUACACGCCUACUAACGCGCCAACUGCACCAGCUGCCCCUGCGGACGCCAUGGAUUGGACCCCUCAUGUGAGCACAGGACGACCAAAGAUACCUGGCCUCUCUGGACGAGAAGUUACUGAUCGAAUCGCCCGAGGCGUCUGCAUUCGUUGCAACAAGCCAGGGCACUUCGCAAGCCAGUGCACCAAUGCAGUAGUUCCUGCCUCUACGCCGCGAGUGAACACAACUACGCCCAC